CCUACGGGUGGCUGCAGUGGGGAAUAUUGGACAAUGGGCGAAAGCCUGAUCCAGCCAUGCCGCGUGUGUGAAGAAGGCCUUCGGGUUGUAAAGCACUUUCAGUGGGGAAGAAAGCCUUGGGGCUAAUACCCUCGAGGAAGGACAUCACCCACAGAAGAAGCACCGGCUAACUCCGUGCCAGCAGCCGCGGUAAUACGGAGGGUGCGAGCGUUAAUCGGAAUUACUGGGCGUAAAGCGCGCGUAGGCGGUCUGAUAAGCCGGUUGUGAAAGCCCCGGGCUCAACCUGGGAACGGCAUCCGGAACUGUCAGGCUAGAGUGCAGGAGAGGAGGGUAGAAUUCCCGGUGUAGCGGUGAAAUGCGUAGAGAUCGGGAGGAAUACCAGUGGCGAAGGCGGUCUUCUGGACUGACACUGACGCUGAGGUGCGAAAGCGUGGGUAGCAAACAGGAUUAGAUACCCCGGUAGUC
rnacentral:rRNA from 1 species